rnacentral:rRNA from 1 species
GUGCCAGCCGCCGCGGUAAGACGAACCGUGCGAACGUUGUUCGGAAUCACUGGGCUUAAAGGGCGCGUAGGCGGGCUCACAAGUCAGGGGUGAAAUCCCACGGCUCAACCGUGGAAGUGCCUUUGAUACUGUGGGUCUUGAGGGAGGUAGGGGCGUGCGGAACUUCCGGUGGAGCGGUGAAAUGCGUAGAUAUCGGAAGGAACGCCGGUGGCGAAAGCGGCGGGCUGGACCUCUUCUGACGCUGAGACGCGAAAGCCAGGGGAGCAAACGGGAUUAGAUACCCCCGUAGUCC